GGAGUAAUAGCUCAGUGGUACAGCGUGUGCUUACCAUGCACGAAGUCCUGGGUUCAAUCCCCAGUACCUCUA
rnacentral:tRNA from 1 species